GAUGAACGCUGACAGAAUGCUUAACACAUCAGCAAUUGAUUGGUGGCGGCCGGGUGAGUAACGCGUAAAGAACUUGCCUCACAGCUAGGGACAACAUUUGGAAACGAAUGCUAAUACCUAAUACUGUGAGAGAGCUUUCCGUCCCAUUAGCUAGUUGGAGAGGUAACGGCUCACCAAGGCGAUGAUGGGUAGCCGGCCUGAGCGGGUGAUCGGCCACAAGGAGACUGAGACACGGCCCUGACUCCUACUGGAGGCAGCAGUGGGUAAUAUUGGACAAUGGACCAAAGUCUGAUCCAGAAAUUCUGUGUGCACGAUGAAGUUUUCGGAAUGUAAAGUACUUUCAGUCGGGAGGUGUUAAUACCAUCAACGAUUGACGUUACCGACAGAAGAAACACCGGCGAACUCCGUGCCAGCAGCCGCGGUAAUAC
rnacentral:rRNA from 1 species